AUCCAGUUGACAAGUCUCAAAUAGGACGAAACGCGCGUCGUGGAU
rnacentral:hammerhead_ribozyme from 1 species